rnacentral:piRNA from 1 species
ACCCAUUCAUGAUGUUUUGCCUCUCUGUAG